GACGAACGCUGGCGGCGUGCUUAACACAUGCAAGUCGAACGGAAAGGCCCUGCUUUUGUGGGGUGCUCGAGUGGCGAACGGGUGAGUAACACGUGAGUAACCUGCCCUUGACUUUGGGAUAACUUCAGGAAACUGGGGCUAAUACCGGAUAGGAGCUCCUGCUGCAUGGUGGGGGUUGGAAAGUUUCGGCGGUUGGGGAUGGACUCGCGGCUUAUCAGCUUGUUGGUGGGGUAGUGGCUUACCAAGGCUUUGACGGGUAGCCGGCCUGAGAGGGUGACCGGCCACAAUGGGACUGGGGUACGGCCCAGGCUCCUUCGGGGGGCAGGAGGGGGGAAUUAUUGAAAAAGGGGCGGAGCCCGGUGCAGGAACGCCGGGGGCGGGAUGACGGCCUUCGGGUUUGAAACCGCUUUCGCCUGUGACGAAGCGUGAGUGACGGUAAUGGGUAAAGAAGCACCGGCUAACUACGUG
rnacentral:rRNA from 1 species